CAGUAGCCGCGGUAAUACGUAGGUGGCAAGCGUUAUCCGGAAUUAUUGGGCGUAAAGCGCGCGUAGGCGGUUUUUUAAGUCUGAUGUGAAAGCCCACGGCUCAACCGUGGAGGGUCAUUGGAAACUGGAAAACUUGAGUGCAGAAGAGGAAAGUGGAAUUCCAUGUGUAGCGGUGAAAUGCGUGGAGAUGUGGAGGAACACCAGUGGCGAAGGCGACUCUCUGGUCUGUAACUGACGCUGAGGAGCGAAAGCGUGGGGAGCGAACAGGAUUAGAGACCCCUGUAGUCCCUGUCUCUUAUAC
rnacentral:rRNA from 1 species